AUGUGGGUGGGACCCAGAGAUGGCCACAUGGCACCAUGUCACUCACGCCCAAGGGGGCAGCACCACGUUCAUGGCAGCCUUGCUGGCUGAGUUUCACACUUUCCUGUAGGCUUCCUUGGAGCAAACAUGCAUGGGCAAGACAUAGCUUGAAAGCACAGCAUGCAAUUCGGCAGGUUGUAAAUGCACCAUGUUCCUCAAAAGUGUGGUCCCUUCACCAACGGCAGCAUCAGAGGAACUCUAGCAAUGUCAAUCAACAGAUGCUGCCCCAGAGCUUCUGAAGCUGGGGCUGCCAGGCUGUGCUUUGCAAUCCUGCAGAAGGCUGCUGGCCACGUGCCCCCUCCCAUCUGCACAUGCUUGUCAACGGGCUCGCCUCUUGGUGGCUUCCAAGUUCAGCCAAGAGCAGAAUGCAUGUGUGCGUGGGCCACUGCUGGCUCCCAGCCAGCCUCCUCCUGAGCUGGGAGCCAGGCAGGCCUGAUGGCAGGCAGGGAAUCCUGGUCUCUCCAUUGCCCAAACUUCCUGUUACCUUUAAGGGGUUUUACUGUGCUUUCGUAUUAGUUUCCUAAUAAAUGGGGCCCAGCUGAAGAGCUGUCCGCAAAACAAUGAGCCCUCAGUGCUGUCAGCCAGGGUGUUUGGGACACCGUUUGUUAAGAAUCCUCCGAGCCCAUUAACCCCUGAACCUGGGAGAUGAUAUCUGCCCUGGAAUGAAUUACCUUCUUUAUUCCCAGA